rnacentral:rRNA from 2 species
AACGAACGCUGGCGGCAGGCUUAACACAUGCAAGUCGAGCGCCCCGCAAGGGGAGCGGCAGACGGGUGAGUAACGCGUGGGAAUCUACCCAUCUCUACGGAAUAACGCAUGGAAACGUGUGCUAAUACCGUAUACGUCCUUCGGGAGAAAGAUUUAUCGGAGAUGGAUGAGCCCGCGUUGGAUUAGCUAGUUGGUGGGGUAAAGGCCUACCAAGGCGACGAUCCAUAGCUGGUCUGAGAGGAUGAUCAGCCACACUGGGACUGAGACACGGCCCAGACUCCUACGGGAGGCAGCAGUGGGGAAUAUUGGACAAUGGGCGCAAGCCUGAUCCAGCUAUGCCGCGUGAGUGAUGAAGGCCCUAGGGUUGUAAAGCUCUUUCACCGGUGAAGAUAAUGACGGUAACCGGAGAAGAAGCCCCGGCUAACUUCGUGCCAGCCGCCGCGGUAA